CACGUGGGGAACCUGCCCCAUAGUCUGGGAUACCACUUGGAAACAGGUGCUAAUACCGGAUAAGAAAGCAGAUCGCAUGAUCAGCUUUUAAAAGGCGGCGUAAGCUGUCGCUAUGGGAUGGCCCCACGGUGCAUUAGCUAGUUGGUAAGGUAAAGGCUUACCAAGGCGAUGAUGCAUAGCCGAGUUGAGAGACUGAUCGGCCACAUUGGGACUGAGACACGGCCCAAACUCCUACGGGAGGCAGCAGAU
rnacentral:rRNA from 1 species